AAUAGAUACCCGGGUAGUCCACGCCGUAAACGAUGAGUGCUAAGUGUUAGAGGGUUUCCGCCCUUUAGUGCUGAAGUUAACGCAUUAAGCACUCCGCCUGGGGAGUACGGCCGCAAGGCUGAAACUCAAAGGAAUUGACGGGGGCCCGCACAAGCGGUGGAGCAUGUGGUUUAAUUCGAAGCAACGCGAAGAACCUUACCAGGUCUUGACAUCCUCUGACAACCCUAGAGAUAGGGCUUCCCCUUCGGGGGCAGAGUGGCAGGUGGUGCAUGGUUGUCGUCAGCUCGUGUCGUGAGAUGUUGGGUUAAGUCCCGCAACGAGCGCAACCCUUGAUCUUAGUUGCCAUCAUUCAGUUGGGCACUCUAAGGUGACUGCCGGUGACAAACCGGAGGAAGGUGGGGAUGACGUCAAAUCAUCAUGCCCCUUAUGACCUGGGCUACACACGUGCUACAAUGGACGGUACAAAGAGUCGCGAGACCGCGAGGUGGAGCUAAUCUCAUAAAACCGUUCUCAGUUCGGAUUGUAGGCUGCAACUCG
rnacentral:rRNA from 1 species